UGAGUGCGAGCUGCUACGGCAGCGAAGUUGGUGACGUCAAGCUUCCAAGAAAAGCCCUAUACCCGUUAAGGCAUCAUGGCCUGUACCCGAAACCGACACAGGUGGGGUGGUAGAGAAUACCGAGGGGCGCGAGGUAACUCUCUCUAAGGAACUCGGCAAAAUGGCCCCGUAACUUCGGGAGAAGGGGUGCCACCGCAAGGUGGUCGCAGUGAAGAGGCCCAGGCGACUGUUUACCAAAAACACAGGUCUCCGCUAAGUCGCAAGACGAUGUAUGGGGGCUGACGCCUGCCCAGUGCCGGAAGGUUAAGGAAGCUGGUCAGCGCAAGCGAAGCUGGCGACUGAAGCCCCGGUGAACGGCGGCCGUAACUAUAACGGUCCUAAGGUAGCGAAAUUCCUUGUCGGGUAAGUUCCGACCCGCACGAAAGGCGUAACGAUCUGGGCGCUGUCUCGGAGAGAGGCUCGGCGAAAUAGAAUUGUCUGUGAAGAUGCGGACUACGUGCACCCGGACAGAAAGACCCUAUGAAGCUUUACUGUAGCUUGGUAUUGUGCCCGGGCUCUGAAUGCGCAGGAUAGGUGGGAGGCUUUGAUCAUCGGCUUGCGGGUCGAUGUGAGCCAACGGUGAGAUACCACUCUUUCAGAGCUAGGGUUCUAACAGUCACCCGUUAUCCGGGGACUGGACAGUAUCAGGUGGGCAGUUUGACUGGGGCGGUCGCCUCCUAAAAGGUAACGGAGGCGCGCAAAGGUCUGCUCAGGCUGGUUGGAAAUCAGCCGACGAGUGUAAAAGCAGAAGCAGGCUUGACUGUGAGACCUACAAGUCGAACAGGGAGGAAACUCGGCUUUAGUGAUCCGACGGUUCUGCGUGGAAGGGCCGUCGCUCAACGGAUAAAAGUUACUCUAGGAUAACAGGCUGAUCUCCCCCAAGAGUUCACAUCGACGGGGAGGUUUGGCACCUCGAUGUCGGCUCAUCGCAACCUGGGGCUGAAGUCGGUCCCAAGGGUUGGGCUGUUCGCCCAUUAAAGCGGUACGCGAGCUGGGUUCAGAACGUCGUGAGACAGUUCGGUCCAUAUCCGGUGCAUGCGCAGGAAUAUUGAGAGGAGUUCUCCCUAGUACGAGAGGACCGGGAGGAACGCACCUCUGGUGUACCAGUUAUCGUGCCAACGGUAAACGCUGGGUAGCCAUGUGCGGAGAGGAUAACCGCUGAAAGCAUCUAAGUGGGAAGCCCACCUCAAGAUGAGUAUUCCCAUGGCGUUAGCCAGUAAGGUCACGGGAAGAACACCCGUUGAUAGGCUCUAUGUGGAAGCGCAGUAAUGCGUGAAGCAGAGGAGUACUAAUAGACCGAGGGCUUGAC
rnacentral:rRNA from 1 species